CCCCGGGGAUAACAGGCUUAUCUCCCCCAAGAGUCCACAUCGACGGGGAGGUUUGGCACCUCGAUGUCGGCUCAUCGCAUCCUGGGGCUGUAGUCGGUCCCAAGGGUUGGGCUGUUCGCCCAUUAAGGCGGUACGCGAGCUGGGUUCAGAACGUCGUGAGACAGUUCGGUCCCUAUCCGUCGUGGGCGUAGGAAAUUUGAGAGGAGCUGUCCUUAGUACGAGAGGACCGGGAUGGACACACCGCUGGUGUACCAGUUGUCUUGCCAAAGGCAUCGCUGGGUAGCUAUGUGUGGACGGGAUAAGUGCUGAAAGCAUCUAAGCAUGAAGCCCCCCUCAAGAUGAGAUUUCCCAUUACGCAAGUAAGUAAGAUCCCUCAAAGACGAUGAGGUAGAUAGGUUCGAGGUGGAAGUGUGGUGACACAUGGAGCUGACGAAUACUAAUCGAUCGAGGACUUAACCAAAA
rnacentral:rRNA from 1 species